rnacentral:rRNA from 1 species
CUACUGAAUCAAUAAUAAUAAUUGAUAACAUAAGGGAAAAUAAUGAUAUUACCUUAUUAUAAGUGUCGUCCAAAUCUGGUGCCAGAAGACUCGGUAAGGCCUGAGACACAAACGUUAAUCGUCUUAAUCAGGCGUAAAGGGUUUGUAGGCGGCUUUAAAAUUUACUUAUUAAAAAAUAAAUAAUAAGUAAAAAAUAAAAGCUAGAAUCAAAUAGAGGAUAUAUUAAAGAAUGUUUAGAGUAGGUCUGAUAUCCUUAGAUACUAAGUAGAAUAUUAAAGGCGAAAGCUUUUUUCCAUUAAUGAUUGACGCUCAGAAACGAAGGUGAGGAUAGGAAAUAGGAUUAGAUACCCAGAAUACCCCUCUCUGUCAACGAUGAAUGGUAGUUAUUAGUAGAAAAUAUUAAUGGCAAUGUUAACACGAUAACCAUUCCGCCUUGUGAGUAUAACUGCAAAGUCGAAAACAAAAAAAUUAGUCGGUUUCGGAGCAAACGAAGUGAAGCAUGUUAUUUAAUCGAAAAAAAUCCCGCAAAAA